rnacentral:lncRNA from 1 species
UAGCAUGCACUAGCAGCUUCCUCGAAAAGCAAAGGAAAAAAGCUGGUAAUCUUAUCAUGUGAUUGGUUCCAUAAAGCGCAUGUGUCGUUUCGUCGCUUCACACACGUGGUCUGGUCGUGUUCCCCUGCAUUAACGUUUGGUGAUUAUAUAAAAAAGGGAGAAUGUUCGUCACGAUGUGCUAUUUGCCUUCUUGUGGACAAAAAUGCGUAACCAAACGUUGCUUUGCAUCUUACUACUACCAAUUAACAACCGCCGGGUGUCCACUUACUAAGAGUGGUCAUGUUAAUCUUUCCGAUGAAAACAAAAUAUAUGGCACCUAUUUAAGUUUCUUGAGGCAGCUCCGCAAUGUUUCAUCUUUGGGUGUGUCUAGGUUUCAGUCGACCGAGUCUCGGUCAAAUAGUACAGUAUGCAAGAAGAAAAAAAAAACUGAAAAAAAAAUAUAUUUGCAUAAAUCUCUAUGCAAAAUCAACGGAUUACAAGUCUCGUCGACUGAUUUUUAGCAAAGCCGUUGAUCUUUUGAUAACGUCGAUAUUCAAGGAUUUGUAGCGCUUUUGGGGAGAUCCAAACUUACCACGACUGACCCCCGCGUCGUCCUCCGUGGGCGACUCGGGGGAGCCAAAACCUAGCGUCGCCAGACCCCAUCACCACCUCCC